UUUCCGUAGGUGAACCUGCGGAAGGAUCAUUAAUGUGUUUGGGCCUCACGGCUCUUCAUUCCGACGCUGUGCGCCUUCGGGCUGCACGCUGAGGGAGCAUAUAUCCACCCCUGCGCACACGCACGGUGGCGAGCUGGGUAACGGCUCGCCGCUGAUCUUUACACACGUCUAAAAGUCAUUGUAUGUUUAUUUGAGAUAAAAACACAACUUUCAGCAACGGAUCUCUUGGCUCUC
rnacentral:misc_RNA from 1 species